rnacentral:rRNA from 1 species
AACGUACGCUGGCGGCACGCCUAACACAUGCAAGUCGAACGCAGUAGCAAUACUGAGUGGCAGACGGGUGAGUAACAUGUGGGAAUCUGCCUUGUGGUUCAGGACAACAUUGGGAAACCGAUGCUAAUACUGGAUAAGCCCUUACGGGGAAAGUUUUAAUGCCAUAAGAUGAGCCCGCAUUUGAUUAGUUAGUUGGUGAGGUAAUGGCUCACCAAGACUUUGAUUGGUAGGGAACUGAGAGGUCAAUCCCCCACACUGGCACUGAGAUACGGGCCAGACUCCUACGGGAGGCAGCAGUAGGGAAUAUUGGGCAAUGGACGCAAGUCUGACCCAGCCAUGCCGCGUGCAGGAUGAAGGCGUUAUGCGUUGUAAACUGCUUUUAUACAGGAAGAAACGACUCUUGCGAGAGGCAUUGACGGUACUGUAUGAAUAAGCACCGGCUAACUCCGUGCCAGCAGCCGCGGU